rnacentral:rRNA from 1 species
GACGAACCGUGCGAACGUUGUUCGGAUUUACUGGGCGUAAAGGGCGCGUAGGCGGCGUGGUAAGUCACUUGUGAAAUCUCUGAGCUUAACUCAGAACGGCCAAGUGAUACUGCUGUGCUAGAGUGCAGAAGGGGCAAUCGGAAUUCUUGGUGUAGCGGUGAAAUGCGUAGAUAUCAAGAGGAACACCUGAGGUGAAGACGGGUUGCUGGGCUGACACUGACGCUGAUGCGCGAAAGCCAGGGGAGCAAACGGG